UACGUAGGGUGCGAGCGUUUGUCCGGAAUUAUUGGGCGUAAAGAGCUCGUAGGCGGCUUGUCGCGUCGGCUGUGAAAACUCAGGGCUCAACCCUGAGCCUGCAGUCGAUACGGGCAGGCUAGAGUUCGGUAGGGGGAGACUGGAAUUCCUGGUGUAGCGGUGAAAUGCGCAGAGUAUCAGGAGGAACACCGGUGGCGAAGGCGGGGUCUCUGGGCCGAUACUGACGCUGAGGAGCGAAAGCGUGGGGAGCGAACAGG
rnacentral:rRNA from 1 species